rnacentral:rRNA from 1 species
AGUUUUUUGUUUUUUAAUAAAAAAUGUUUUCUGCUCGGUGAUUUUUAACAGCUGCGGUAAUUUGACCGUGCAAAGGUAGCAUAAUCAUUUGCUUCAUAAUUGGAGGCUUGUAUGAAUGGAAUUACAAGAUUUUUGCUUUAUUAGAAAGAGAUUAAAAAUUUGCUUUUUUAGUGAAGAAGCUAAAAUUUUUUUAUGGGACAAGAAGACCCUUUUGAGCUUUACUAAAUUUUUUUUUAAAAAAAAAAUUUAGUUUGGUUGGGGCGACCAAGGAAGGUGAAUCUUCCUUUAUUUACUUUGAUCCAUGGAUUAUGAUUGAUGGAAUAAGUUACCAAAGGGAUAACAGCGUAAUUUUUUUUGUGAGUUCUUAUUUAAAAAAAAGAUUGCGACCUCGAUGUUGACUUAAAUUUUCCUUUUGGUGCAGUAGUUAAAAUGGUAAGUCUGUUCGACUUUUAAAAUUUU